GACGAACGCUGGCGGCGUGCCUAAUACAUGCAAGUAGAACGCAGUUUCGAACGGGUGAGUAACGCGUAGGUAACUGCCUCAUAGCGGGGGAUAACAAUGUGAAACGAUAGCUAAUACCGCACACUGUUAGAUGGACCUGCGUUGUAUUAGCUAGUUGGUGUGGCUAAGGCUCACCAAGGCGACGAACCAUAGCCGACCUGAGAGGGUGAUCGGCCACACUGGGACUGAGACACGGCCCAGACUCCUACGGGAGGCAGCAGUAGGGAAUCUUCUGCAAUGGACGGAAGUCUGACCGAGCAACGCCGCGUGAGUGAAGACGGUUUUCGGGUCGUAAAGCUCUGUUGUUAGAGACGCGGUACCUAACCAGAAAGCCACGGCUAACUACGUGCCAGCCGCCGCGGUAAUUC
rnacentral:rRNA from 1 species